UGAGGAAUAUUGGUCAAUGGGCGAGAGCCUGAACCAGCCAAGUCGCGUGAGGGAAGACGGUCCUAUGGAUUGUAAACCUCUUUUGUCGGGGAGCAAAAAGGCCACGUGUGGCCACAAGCGAGAGUACCCGAAGAAAAAGCAUCGGCUAACUCCGUGCCAGCAGCCGCGGUAAUACGGAGGAUGCGAGCGUUAUCCGGAUUUAUUGGGUUUAAAGGGUGCGUAGGCGGAAUGGAAAGUCAGCGGUAAAAUUUCCGGGCUCAACCCGGUCGUGCCGUUGAAACUGUCGUUCUUGAGUGAGCGAGAAGUAUGCGGAAUGCGUGGUGUAGCGGUGAAAUGCAUAGAUAUCACGCAGAACUCCGAUUGCGAAGGCAGCAUACCGGCGCUCAACUGACGCUGAAGCACGAAGGCGUGGGGAUCAAACAGG
rnacentral:rRNA from 1 species